UACGGAGGGUGCAAGCGUUAUCCGGAUUCACUGGGUUUAAAGGGUGCGUAGGUGGGCAAGUAAGUCAGUGGUGAAAUCUCCGGGCUUAACCCGGAAACUGCCAUUGAUACUAUUUGUCUUGAAUACUGUGGAGGUCAGCGGAAUAUGUCAUGUAGCGGUGAAAUGCUUAGAUAUGACAUAGAACACCAAUUGCGAAGGCAGCUUGCUAAACGAUCAUUGACGCUGAGGCACGAAAGCGUGGGGAUCAAACAGG
rnacentral:rRNA from 1 species